GCCUCCAGUAGCCUAACAAACUCCUCCAACAACCUAAUAAAUUCUUUUAAUGGCCUAACAAAUUUUUUAACAACCUCAUCAGUCCUUUUAUAAAUAGAGGGCUAAAGGAUCCUCCAGAUAAAUUCUAACUCUCAAGUCUCAAGCUCAAACUAGAGGGAGAUUCUAUCGCUGGGACUCUAAUUUUCAUAAAGUCACAAACCCUCUAGUUCUACACAAAUCCUUCUGCUCUCCAUUCUAUUUUUUUCACCUUCUAUUCUUGAGGCUCAAACUGACUUAAGCAUUGGAGGGUCCAAGAUCGAAGGAUUCUCAUCGAUUUUUAACUUAUUUUAGAGGUUCCUUCGAAGGAGAUUCGAAUCUGAUCGCUACAACUACUCCAGCAUGACUUCAUUCGAUCUCUCUAUCUGAGAUUUUGAGCCUUACAAUAAUAUGAUCUUUUUCAGAACCAUA
rnacentral:lncRNA from 1 species